UUCUUGGUGGUGGUAGAGCUACUGGUUGACUAAUGGGCUGUUUUGGUUACUGAGGUCUGCCAAACUCCGAAUGCCGUUCAAGUUAAGCGUGGCAGUGAGACUGUGGGGGAUAAGCUCCAUUGUCAAAAGGGAAACAGCCCAGAUCGUCGACUAAGGCCCCUAAGCGUGCGCUGAGUGGGAAAGGAUGUGGAGUCGCGUAGACAACCAGGAGGUUGGCUUAGAAGCAGCCAUCCUUGAAAGAGUGCGUAAUAGCUCACUGGUCAAGUGGUUCCGCGCCGAUAAUGUAGCGGGGCUUAAGCGUACCGCCGAAGUCGCGGCAUCAGCAUAUUGCACGGCACAUGGUAUGUGUGUUAGUGGUGUUGUUGGGUAGGGGAGCGUCCUGCCAGAGUUGAAGUCCGGGGGUGAUCUCGGGUGGAUUUGGUGGGAGUGAGAAUGCAGGCAUGAGUAGCGAGUGGAAAGUGAGAAUCUUUCCCGCUGGAUGACUAAGGGUUCCAGGGCUAGGUUUGUCCGCCCUGGGUGAGUCGGGUCCUAAGGCGAGGCCGUCAGGCGUAGUCGAUGGAUAACCGGUUGAUAUUCCGGUACCGGCGAAGGACCGACCGUGACGAGGGGACAUGUGCUAACCGAUGCUGUUGGCCCUGUAUGCUUUCGGGUGUGUGGGGUUUGAUGGUCUUGGGGUCCCGUGUUUUAGUAGUCAAGCGUGUUAACAGGGGUGACGCAGUGAGGUAGCUGGCGCGUGUCUUAUGGCUUGGCGCGUCUAAGAGUGUGGCCUGGUUCCUAGGUAAAUCCGGGGACUGUUAGGGUGAGGCUUGAUGGUGAGACCGUUUGGUUGAAGUUCAGUGAUCCUGUACUGUCGAGAAAAGCCUCGACGUUAGGUUUUAGCCGCCCGUACCCUAAACCGACACUGGUAGUCAGGUAGAGAAUACUAAAGCGGACGGGUUAAUCAUGGUUAAGGAACUCGGCAAAAUACCCCCGUAACUUUGGGAGAAGGGGGACCAUCCUGGUGACCGUGCCUCGCGUGCGUGAGCUGGUGGUGGUUGCAAUAGCAAGAGGGACGCGACUGUUUAUCAAAAACACAGGUGCAUGCUAAGCCGUGAGGCGCUGUAUAUGCACUGACGCCUGCCCGGUGCUGGAAGGUAGCCCCAGUAAACGGCGGUGGUAACUAUAACCAUCCUAAGGUAGCGAAAUUCCUUGUCGGGUAAGUUCCGACCUGCACGAAUGGCGUAACGACUUCCCUACUGUCUCGACCGUGAGCCCGGUGAAAUUGCAUUACGAGUAAAGAUGCUCGUUUCGCGCAGCAGGACGGAAAGACCCCGGGACCUUUACUAUAGCUUGGUAUUGGUGCUCGCUUGCGAUUGUGUAGGAUAGGUGGGAGGCUGUGAAGCUGGCACGCUAGUGUUGGUGGAGUCGUUGUUGAAAUACCACUCUGUUGUAAGUGGGUUCCUAACUUUGACCCCUGAUCGGGGUUAGGGACAGUGCCUGGUGGGUAGUUUAACUGGGGCGGUUGCCUCCUAAACGGUAACGGAGGCGCUCAAAGGUUCUCUCAGCCUGGUUGGCAAUCAGGUGUUGAGUGUAAGUGCACAAGAGGGCUUGACUGUGAGACUGACAGGUCGAGCAGGUACGAAAGUAGGAACUAGUGAUCCGGCCAUGGCUUGAGGAAGCGUGGUCGCUCAACGGAUAAAAGGUACCCCGGGGAUAACAGGCUGAUCUUGCCCAAGAGUCCAUAUCGACGGCAUGGUUUGGCACCUCGAUGUCGGCUCGUCGGCUGGAGUUGGUCCCAAGGGUUGGGCUGUUCGCCCAUUAAAGCGGUACGCGAGCUGGGUUCAGAACGUCGUGAGACAGUUCGGUCCCUAUCCGCUGCGUGCGUUGGAGUUUUGAGGAGGCCUGUCCCUAGUACGAGAGGACCGGGACGGACGAACCUCUGGUGUGCCAGUUGUUCUGCCAAGAGCAUGGCUGGUUUGCUACGUUCGGGAGGGAUAACCGCUGAAAGCAUCUAAGCGGGAAGCCUGCUCCAAGACUAGGACUCCGUGACAUUUUGUCGUGAGGCCCCCUGUAGACUACGGGGUUGAUAGGCCGGGCGUGGAAGCACCGUGAGGUGUGGAGCUUACCGGUACUAAUCGGCCGAUAACAACACUA
rnacentral:rRNA from 1 species